GACGGAGGAUGCAAGCGUUAUCCGGAUUCAUUGGGCGUAAAGGGUGCGUAGGCGGCGCGGUAAGUCGGGUGUGAAAUCUCGGAGCUUAACUCCGAAACUGCAUUCGAUACUGCCGUGCUUGAGGACUGGAGAGGAGACUGGAAUUUACGGUGUAGCGGUGAAAUGCGUAGAUAUCGUAAGGAAGACCAGUGGCGAAGGCGGGUCUCUGGACAGUUCCUGACGCUGAGGCACGAAGGUCAGGGGAGCAAACGGG
rnacentral:rRNA from 1 species